GAACGCAUAUUGCGCCCUUUGGUAUUCCGAAGGGCAUGCCUGUUCGAGCGUCAUUAUCAACCAUCAAGCCUGGCUUGUCGUUGGACCUUUGGUCGUCGAGACCGGUCCGAAAGAUAAUGGACGGGCGUCUGGUGGCCCCCAAUGCAACGAGCUCUUUACACAGCACGCAUCGGUGUGGUCGGCAGCCCCGUCCCAAACCCCCCUUUUUCUCAGGUUGACCUCGAAUCAGGUAGGAAUACCCGCUGAACUUAA
rnacentral:misc_RNA from 1 species